UACGUAGGGGGCAAGCGUUAUCCGGAUUUACUGGGUGUAAAGGGAGCGUAGACGGCAGCGCAAGUCUGGAGUGAAAUCCCAUGGCUUAACCAUGGAACUGCUUUGGAAACUGUGCAGCUGGAGUGCAGGAGAGGUAAGCGGAAUUCCUAGUGUAGCGGUGAAAUGCGUAGAUAUUAGGAGGAACACCAGUGGCGAAGGCGGCUUACCAAGCUACUUCUGACGUUGAGGCACGAAAGCGUGGGGAGCAAACAGG
rnacentral:rRNA from 1 species